UUGGUCAGUUUCGCAUUUGGGCCGGGUACGCUUUUUAAAUAAAAUAGACAGAUGCACUUUAAAGGCAUUUAUAUUCAACUGGUUACUUAUGAUGUUUAUAGAACUGGUGAUUCCUGCGUACGAGUAGUUAUUGUGUAAGACUGUUACUGAAACCAUUUUUUUAAUUGAGGUAACUGCGCCGACGUCGGGUCCCAAGCCCCGAGUAAAAAAGCAGGAGGGCAUUUCUGAAAUGAAAGGUACUUGAAGCUCUCCUGCAAUUAAAACACAAUGAAGAUAUCAUUCUUGUAUUCCUGUGCAGUGGUUAUACUUUAUUGCAAAGUCCUAAAAGCCCAUGUCUGCGCAGAAUGUUGUCAAGAGAAGUGUCAGCUGUUGUCUAUGACAGAUAAUCUGAUAUUGUUGGAUCCUGGCCUUGGUGAAAAAUUUGGAAGCCUUUAUUUUAAAAUAAAAAACGGAUCAGACAGUAUAUCAAAGACAGAUUGUCUCAGAGUGAAGAAAAAGGGUGUAUGGACUUGCGACUCAAAUACACAUGAUUGGUGUAGAAAGUGUAAGAAAGAAUAUUGCAAACAACAGAUAUGUGGAGAUUUUUGUGGCUUUAUACAUGCGGAUGCUUUUUAUCCUUUCGAAACAUUUGAACAUUACAUGAAAAACAGUUAUGACAGAAGGCCUGAAUUCGGAUCAAGCAAUUUAACUAGUGACUUUCAUAAUGAAUGCUGCAAGAGGAGGACAUGUGGUUCGGCUGAAUAUUAUACUACAGGGGAAAGAAUGCAUGAGAAGGAACCUUCUGACAAGUUGCUGCACUCGCUGGAGCUGUCCUUGAUGAUAUCAUUUAUAGCUACAGUUGCUAGUCUUAGUUCAAUGCUUUUCAUGUUUAGCAUAUGGAGGUAUGGUUUGUUUUAAGACAUUCUUAUUAAACUAGCCAUUCGUUUUUAUUCGACCGAAGGGACGUGUUAUUUUAUUGUACAGGUCGUCCUUCUACCCGUCCGUCUAUCCGUUAGGGAUUUUGUUGCUGCUCAGUUGCUUGUGAUCGUCAAACUUGAUGGCGGGGAUAAAUUAUAUUUACUCUAUCAUGUGAUUUAUAUUGCCGUUAGAUGGCGUGGUAAAACAGAUUUUUCAAAAAUCUAGUAGAAAUACAGCUAAUUUUACACUACGGUUCAAAAGGUGACCAUGUAAUCCAAUUCGUUAAAACAUGGUCGUCAGAGCUAAAAAUAGACAACUGUUCUGAUUGUUCGAGUUUCACAGAAAUGUGCCUUGGAUGGUCCGAUAUGCUACCAAGGAUGUUCAAAUAAUAUAACUGUGUCAAGAUCUUUUGCAGCUAUGGAAUAUAUUCACAUUUCUCCUAUACGUGACUAGUAUAGUAUAGUGUAGUUAUAGGUUUUCCUCGAAACUGUUGAUACAAUUUAUAUAAAAUAAUUUCAUACACAUAUCCCUUUACCACGAAUGUUCAAGUUGAAUACUUCCUUAAUCCCCUGCAUACGACCACCGCUGCAGGUCCCUGUCUGCUGUUUGUCUUGCUUCUCUUCCGGACAUAUGGACAGUUCGCAUUUCAGCGUCAAGUGUCCGUCGCCAGCUCAAAACUACGGAAUUCCGGUGCGACAGGUUUUUUGCUGUUUGCUAUUUGCUUUCUGCGUUUUGGUUUUUGCAUUUAUGUUUUGCCUUUUGCCUUUUGCUAUUUGUCUUUUGCUAGUUUGAUUUUUUUCUAAAUAUACUUAAGGACAAUGAAAACGCACGGUCGGGAUAAUUGCAUUUUAACAAGGAAAAUAUUUUUCUUAUAAAUAUUUUUUCACAGUAUCAUAAAACCGAAUGCAUUGCGGUCAUUUAGAUACCAAAAUUUUGAAAAUUGAUUGCAUAGUAAAGAAGUUAUUGCAUAAUAAAGACAGUACCCCAAAAAUCAAAAGUAACACUUUUGACUAAUUGUGAUAAGAUCACAACAGAAAAAAGAAUGGACCAAUUCAUUGUUACUUUAUGAAAUGAAAUUAUUUAAUUUUUUAAACUGUUAAUUAUUAACUUGUUUUUCACCUUUCUAGAAAUGUUAGACACAAAUGAGCAAUUAAAAUCUUUAUGAAAAUGAAUAUUAAACUAUGCCAAUGGUCAGUUUUAGAAAUCGUAAUGUUUUGUCAAAAGCUCCCAUGGAAAUUGCAUGCACACACAAUUUUCCUCUAUAAAAGGUACUCCAUUUGAAAAAACUACUCAGACUUGCUAGCAAAUUGUAUGCAAUGGUUCUACAAAGAAAUAACCGCUGGGUAGCUUUAGGACAGAUUAUGGCUGGUGUAUCUUACCAACAAAUCGCCAACAGUUUUGGUGUCCAUCGGUCUACAAUUUCUCGGCUUCACCAGCGUUUUCGUACUACUGGUACCGUCAACGACCGACCGAGACCAGGCCAGCGGAGGGUGACGACAACACGCCAAGAUAUCAACAUUCGCCUGGUACACAUUGCCAGUCGGUUUAGGACACCAGCAGAAACUGCUAGAACUAUUCCAGGACGCCGAAAUCCGACGGUCUCUGCUCGCACCAUUCGUCGACGUUUGAGGGAUGCUGGUCUUCGAUGUCACAGGCCAUACCGCGGCCCACGCUUAUUACCACGCCAUAGACUUGCACGAAGACGCUGGGCAGCCGGCCAUGCCCGUUGGCGCUUAAACUGAUGGGACAGCGUUAUUUUUUCUGACGAGACCAAAGUAAUGGUCGACUCAAGUGACCGAAGACAGCGUGUGUAUCGCCGCCGUGGUGAAAGGUUCAGGGAUAGCUGUGUCGUGGAGGAGGAGCACAGCGAACGAGCGUCGACUCUGAUAUGGGCAGGUAUAACUGCAAACGACAGGACAGAUCUUGUUUUCUUGGAUCAAGGUGUGGGACGUGGAGGAAGAAACGCUUAGGAUUGAAUGCUCAACGGUACAUUAAUACCGUCCUACAGCCUGUCCUGGUUCCAUUCGUUCAGCAGCAUCCUGGGACGUUAUUUCUGCAGGACAACGCAAGGCCGCACGUGGCGAGAGUAUCCUUGAAUUUUCUGCAACAAAACGGGGUACAGCUUCUUGCUAAAUGGCCAUCCAUGUCUGUAGACUUAAACCCAAUUGAACACCUUUGGAACCACUUAAGGCAGCGGAUUCGGAAGAGACAAAACAUUCGUGACGUACAAGGACUUCGGGUUGCACUACAGGCCGAAUGGCGUCAGAUUCCACAGGCGGCUAUCCGCACCCUAGUAAGGUCCAUGAGGCGACGAUGUACAUCUGUAAGAGACACUGAUGGAGGACAUUGUCGUUUCUAAAGAUCCCGACGGUGACAUUACGAAUAGACAUUUAUGAGUGACUUUGUUUUGGAUUUUUAUUUUGUUUUUUUGCCUUUGUUAAGUUUGCAUUACUGUGAUGAAAAAGUGUGAUUUUGGGAUUUUCACCUUAGGUACUUCGAUGGACUGGUGUACAUUUGAUUUUAAACAUUUUGAAUUAUUUUCAGUUGUAAAGUUUGCGUUUUGUAAUAAAGUUAUGAUAUAUAUCUGAUGGAGUCGUUAGUGUUUUGUUUUCAUGUAAUAAAAUGCAUAUAAUGCGGGCGUGCGUUUUCAGUAUUAAUGCCUGUAGCUAUAAAUAAUAAAUUAUGUAAUGAAAUGUGCAACACCUCUAACGCCCCCUAGCACAAUGGCUUAAGCGGAACCCUAUUACACAUAUGUUGAAAAGACUCCAUGAUCCCACAGGACCAGAAAGUAUAACAACACAAGACAUCAACUUAAAGCAUAUUUAAAAAUAUAAGAUUGGUAGUAUUUUGAAUUUCUAUAGCAGUGAGAUCGGCUGCAUUUUAGGAAAACCCUAUCAGGCCCGUAGCCAGAGGUAUAAAAAUAGGGAGGCAUUUGGUAGGGGGUAUGCUCCCCUGGAAUUUUUUUUCGAGGGUGUAAUUUCGUGCGUUUUUCUGCAUUUCAAACAUGUUUUUGUUGCUUUUAAAAUACCGAUUUCGGAAAAAAAUGAAUGACGUUAAAAAGAUUCCCGUACAUUUUAGUUAGUAUAGUUAAUGUAGGUCUACAGAAAAAUAAGAAUUUUGAAAUAGCCAACGUAAUUGCGAUUAUUGUCACUCUAAAACGCUAAUUUAAAGGCAUAUGGUCAUAUUUGCUUGGUUCUUACAUCUUCAGUUGAGUAAAUGUAUAUAUGUUCAUGUAUAAACUUUUUAGCAUGGCUGACGUGAAACGAAAAUUUGAAAGAAGCAACAUAGUUUAUACAUUUACAAAUGCAAUACAGAAAUGAAAUACAAAAUUAAUGUACUUAAUACAUAAUAUAUUUUGUCAGUCUUCUUUAAAUAAAAUUACAUUUUAGAAAUUCAGCACUUUGAUAAAAAGUGCGUAUGGCAUGUCAGAUCUAAAAGAUCAAAUGUUGUCAUAAAGUUAUACUUACAAGUUAAUCAAAAUCUAAAAAAGUCACACAUAUAUAAAAAAAGUAUAAAGGGGAGAUUCCAUACUUAUGAACAAUUAAUAAGUGUAUCUGAUAUAAGUUCUUAACUUUCAAGUGAGAGAAACCUUAUGACGAAGUUUUGAAAUGCUGUACGUAUAAUUGUGACUUUUUAGAAAUUAUAUGUUCAAAGGUGUGUAUAAAGAACAAAACCGCGUGAUUGCAAUACUUCAUUCUGUUGUAAUGUCAAAAUGAAUCAAUUUAGAAAAAAAAUAUCAACAUUUAGAGAUAGACCCUAAAAUUUUCCAUGAUAGUAAUACAUUAAAUAAAGUCUAGAAAUUGAUUUCCAAGUCCUUGAAAUAACCAAAAAUGAUUUCACAAAUGUGAAGUUUAUGAUAGUUUUGUGAAUAUCAAUAACAGAAGUUUUAAUUUUCAAUUUAAAGUUGUGAUCCACAAAGAAUGACAACUCUUGCCUUGGGCAGUACUUAUAAGCAGAGAUAUCUAUUAGUUUACUUCCCUUGCAAUUACACAAUUGAGUGGAAAAUGAAAACUGUUUUAGACACUCAUACUUUUUUGCACAACAAAAACAUUUAGGAUUUAUUCAUUUGUGUUUGAUUUACCCCGCAAAACAUGGUUCCUAUGAUUCUGUCAACUUACAUAUGGUAAAAAAAAAACUUUUAACAAGCCAAUAAUAAAAUGAAGUACCAGUAAGUAAUUAAUAGUGCAGAUAAUACAGUUUUGCUUGUAUCAAAAUAUCACAAUAGAAGCACUUUUGUAAUACAGAACACCUGGUAGGAUUAGUAAAGGUGCAAUUAUAUUGAUCUUUAUUUCCUAUGCCUACAGCAUUCAGUCAGAUAAGCGCCACGUUUUAUUUAGGUAUGCAUACCAUAAAACUUCUUUCGCAAGAACAUGAACCAACUGUUCAAUUUUCAUGUGAAACAACUCUUUCUUUCUAUGAUUUGGUGUUGUUUGAUUUUUUAUCUCAAAACGUAAGGCUGAGCGUUAAAGCUUUGAAUUGAUCAUUUUAAGCAUGUUGUUUUAAUGUUUUUAAUUUCCAUGUAGCCGCUCCUGCAGAUGGUCCUACCUAUCAAGCUAUUGAUAAAUAUUUCAUCCCGAUUAUUGCGGGAAUAACUUCUCUCAAUGACGGAAAAUUGUAAGAUACAUGCAUAUUGUAUGAUAUCAGAAAAUGUUGUAAGUCUAAUAAAAUAAAUUCAGAUCCACUAUUUAAUCUGAAAUUUAGAUAUAAUGUCAUUGGAACCAUAUCAUAUAUCAUUUAUAAAAGAGAAACAGAAAUAAUUCAAGAAACCGAUAUGUAAUAAUAUUGAAAUACUGGUUUAAAGUAAUUAAAGCUAGUAAUUGCAUUAUAAACACUGUAUAUGAACGGUUGAAAACCGAUAUGUAUAAUUUUAGUUUAAUCAUAUUUUAUUGUAGAUAUAUACACAUUUAAUACACACACAUACAACAAGCAUACAUAAAUACAUCAAUGUAAAUAUACAAAAGGGUUGGGCCAGAAGUUAUAACAACAUUAUCGGGGGCCCUCCCCUGACAAAGCAGACUAUAUGUUAUUUAGAAAUACUGUCGUUUUGUGAUAUAUGUGGACAAUCAAAUCAGGAAUUGAAAAAGAAAAAAGAAAAUAUAGUAUGGUACUGCAAAAAAAAAAACAGCAACAAAAAAAAAAAACAUUUAUAUAUUACAGAAAAGCGAAAAAAAAGAUACAAUACAAUUGCCGCAGAUCCAAUAUAGAUGCCACCUUCCCAGUCCAAUGCAUUUCAUGUAUGUAAUAUUUUAGCAGUGGUCCAUUCUAUCUUGAUGUACAUCAUUAAAAUACAGAAAACUAAACAGUAAAAUAGUACAAUAGUUAUCAAAAUCUCUUAGUUUCCUUUAUGAAAUGAUGUACUUGAUGAAAUAAGAGCCUAUUAUGAGCAUCGUUCAGGAUAUCAAUACCAAAUAGUAAUUUAUUCGUGCUAAGAGGGUGGAACUGACGUGUAUUUAUAAAAAGAUUUCUCCUUUGAUUGUUGUAUUUUGGACAUUUAAAUAGAAAGUGUUCGGCAUCUUCUACUAAAGCACCACAGUUACAUGCAGGAUUUGCGAUAAGGUGAUUGUUAUACAAAUCUGAAUUAAGAUUGCUACAAUUGUUUCUAAUGCGUGCUUGAUGAAAGGAUGGUGAGCGAUCGCCACUUGUAAAAUAUGAUGGAACAAUUGAUGGUUUGUAUAAAUCCUUGAGUUUUCUUUUGAAACUUGCUAAUGAUUCUGAUUCUCUAAUAUCUUAAGGUAAUUCAUUCCAAAGUUGUAUUGCUGAAGGGAUGACGGACUUAGAAUAAAUGUUCUGUUCUCCUCGCCAUUGAUACAUAAUUAACAUUAUUUCUCAACCAGUAUUGAUUUUCAUAUGCAUUUUCGACUAAAGGGGGGAAUAACUGUGAUAAGUACAAUGGCAAUAAAUGAUGUUUUUCUUUGUAUACUAAUAUUAAUUUCUGAAUCUUUCUUCUGUCCGCAAGAGAUACCCAUCCGAUUUCUUUUAAUAGUUUUUGAAUAGAUACUGAUCUUGUUAAACACGUUACAACUCUUGCAGCUUCGUAUUGUAUUUUUUCUAAUAUUUCUUUCUCAUAAUUAGCACAAUUAUCCCAUAACAAAGAGGCAUAUUCCAGACGUGGACGUAAAUAAGAUAUAUAUAUUUGAUUGAGGGUUUUUUGUUGAAAUUGAAAUUUCAACAUUUUCAUUGACCCUAAAAUUUUCGAGGCAGAUGAGACUAUAGUGGCGAUAUGUUCAUGCCAUGACCCGUCCUGACUAAAUGUAACACCGAGAUGUUUAUGAUGUUCAACAAAUGUUAGAUGUACAUUAUCAAAAUAUAAGUUUAGGCGGUUUCUAUUACAAUAGGAAAAAACAUAACUUCUGUUUUAGAAGGGUUAAAUUUCACUAAUCAUUGAUUGGACCAUAACUUAAUUUUGUGGAGGUCAUGAUUAAGAGUUUCUUCCAUCGUAUCUAUGUUACUUGUUGAUACGGCUAGAGAACUAUCACCUGCAAAAAGUCUAGUAAUAUUUAAAAGUGAAUCAGCUAUAUCAUUUACAUAGAUAAGAAAUAAAAGAGGUCCAAGGACUGAGCCUUGAGGAACCCCACCAUGUAGACAUUGUGAGUCUAAAAAAGAAGUUUCGACGAAAACUUUUUGAGUGAUAUGUAUAAUAAUAAAGUAAACUGGUGUUGUUAUGUAAAGGACAUGUUAUACGUAAAUGGUUUUGGCUAUGUAUGGGAAACGCCUGCUGUAAUAAAUGUAAAACAGUUCAUACCAUUGUGCAGGCAAAGGCUUAUUGACAAUUUCAUACAAACCUGGAGAAACAGUGUACAAAAUAACCAGGUGCUAAUUGAUUAUAAGCAUCUGAAACAAGACUAUGAAUAUGCAGGUUACCUCAGUAUCGUAAGUGAUAAAAGAUACCGAAGAUUGUUAACAUAUUUCAGAGUCUCUGCACAUUAUCUAAAAGUUGAAACUGGACGUUAUGGUCUAACAAAAUUGACAGAAGUGAACGAACCUGUGAUGUCUGUGGUUCUAGGGACGUAGACGAUGAGUUUCAUAUGAUAUGUGUUUGCCGCGUUAUAAAAUAUUGAGAAAACUUUAUAUUGACAGAUAUUACUAUGAACGAUCAAAUAUGUGGAAAUUUAUUAAAUUUUUGUCAUGUGCAAACAAAGAGACACUUAAUAAUUUAGCCUGUUUUAUCAACUGUGCAUUGAAACUAAGAAGAAAUACGUUAGAACAUUAAAUAAGUAUUUCAAAAUGUAUAUAUCCAAGUACAUAAUUAUUAUUUAACAAUACCUUAUACUGAUGAUACCUUUAUCUUACAAUUGGUGAGUGUUUUAUGUUUUGUAAUAUAACACAUUCAAUUGACACUUAUAGCGAUUACUGUAUUUUAAAUGUUUUGUAAAUAUAUUUUAAUAUUUGAUGACCUUGCUUUGAUAUGUAUAUGUUGUAGGGAUGAGGAGCUCAUAGCUCAAAUCUGAAUAAAGAUUUCUUGAUUCUGUAUAAAAACAAGAAAAAACUAUUCAGUAUUUACCAAGAAAAAUACAUUACAUUAUAAUAUCUUUUCACUAAGCUGUGACAUACAGAUGACUGUAUGGAUGAAUGCAAGGUAGGGUUAUUAUCUGAGUCAUUGAUUGUUGUGGUCUCUCGGGCAAGUUUGACCGUACUUAAAAUUAAAACUCUAAAUAUAGCACUAAAGGCUACCUUCCACCCUACUAAUCUAUCACAUUCUUACUGAAGUCUAAUUUGUACAGUGAGUGAUUUUCAACAAAUGAUUUUACAACUAUAACAAUAAAUUGAUGUCAGGUUGACAUAUUAAGAUAUCAUUUCAUGAUUCAGAUACGCAAGUAAAGAAAAGAAAUUUUAAUAAUUUUCAAACGAUUUACCAAAUAUAAUACUAAAUCAAGUUUUGCAGUCAAAAAUGUUACUCAUUAAGUUACACUUUAAUCGUAAUCUAAACCCGUUAAAUGGAAUAAUAUAUACAAUACUGUGGAAAAAAAUGAUCUUAAAAUGUAUGAAGCGUAAUGAAUGCCGCAAAGUAAGUUUUUAUGCCUUUUUAGUUGUUUGGAUCUCAUUACUUGGUAAUAUGGGCAUAAAUUGCAACUUGUCAUUGAAUUUGUGAAAUACAAUAGGAAUAAAAAGCACCUGAUAACUCCGUUCGAAUAAUAGAAACAGACAGCAGCCGCAUACUGUAAUGAAAUGAUUUAAUGGAAGAUGUGAAAUUCAAAAGAUUGCCGUCUUGUAGAAAUGGGAAACGCAUUUAACUCCUUUUAUACCACGAAGAGUAGCGAAACAAUUUUCCGAUUCAAAAUUAAACCUCUUUCGGUCACUGGUGUGGAGUCUAAUUGCUACGUUAUAUACAAUGCAUUGUUCAAGAUUGUACGAUUAAUUUAUACGAAUUUAUCAUACUUGCAAAGUAUAUACGCGUAUAGCACUUUUAGUUUUCAUAGCUUGAAACAUGUCCAUAAUAUUUGUGUCAAACAAAUUAAGUAAUUCACUGUAGAUACCAAAUUCAAACUUUGAUCUUCCCCUUUUAUUUUCAAAUAUGCUCCUUAAUUGUAGCAUCAGGGCCAAGGAUGAGGGCUCAUGGUGUUGCCCAUAUAUGAAAACAAUAUUGAAGUACUUUCCAUUCAAAAACAAUAGAGUUUUUAGCAAACAAAUUCAAAUGAGCCUAUAACCUAUCUUAAGCAGCCAUCAAAGGGAGCGACUCAGCGUGACUGCUUAGGAAAGAUAGCUGCUUAAGUCAUGCUGAAAUUAGUUUGUUGAUUAGCUACUUAAUACAGUUGAUCGCUAAGGCAGAUUUGCUCUAUAUCUCUAUUACGGUUUAAUAGAUUAUAUUUUUUAUCUAAUGUGUGCAUAAUGUCUCCCUAAAAUUUCAUUUUAGCUCGACUGUUCGAAGAAUAAGGAGAGCUGUCCUACUCACAACAGCGUCGUCGUCACACCUUGGUGACGUUUUUCGUAUCAGUUCACAUUUUGACAAAUCCUUUUGUCAUAUAGCUUUGAAACUUUCAACACUUGUGUACCAUCACCUUAUCAAGUUUAAGACUACAGUACACAACUCUGUCAAGGAUUUUGACUGAAUUAUGGCCCAUUUUAACGUACACAUCUUGGUGUUAAGUUUUUCGUAGCAGUUCAUAUUUAGUGUAAACCGUUUUACUUAUAGCUUUGAAACUGUGGCAAAGUCUAAAAACAAAAAGGGUAAAUAUACCUCUCACAUGUACAUGUAAUUACAGUGUUAAAACCGAAAUGUUGUAAAAGUUGCUAAUCGUUAAUUAAAAACUGAUAUAAAAUUACAUUUAAGCUCAAUAAAAGCAAGAGCUCUCCGUAAGACAGCAAAGACAGCACGCUUGACUUUCCUCAGCUAGAGCUGGGCUUAAUUCUAUCAAAUACCAAAAGAAGCAACAAAACAGAUCAGACGAGGGCAUGAGGCUAGUGCCAAUGUUUGCAUAUAUUAGUAAACUGUAUUUUUUGUAGAUAUGAUUUCAGAAGAAAAUAUAGGACCGUAGCCAGGUUGAUUUUUUGGUAUUAAACACUACAUACCCCCGCCUCCUCCCCUUCAUAAAAACUGUUACAAAUUAUUUAGAUUGCAUACUUACGAGGACAUGUUUGAAGAAUUGUCAGACCUCGAUUUUACAGUCGUUCAAUUAAGACGUUCCUUUUUAGCUCACUUGAGCAAUGCUCAGGUGAGUUUUUCUGAUCACCCAAUGUCCGGCGUCUGUCUGUCGUCUGUCUGUCGUCUGUCUGUCUGUCCGUCAACAUUUCGCUUGUGUAUGCGAUAGAGGCUGUAUUUUUCAACUGAUCUUCAUGAAAUUUGGUUAGAAUGAUUACCUUGAUGAAAUCUAGGCCGAGUUUGAAAAUGGGUCAUCUAGGGUCAAAACUAGGUCACUAGGUCAAAUCAAAGAAAAACUUUGUGUAUGCGAUAGAGGCUGUAGUUUUCAAGUAAUCUUCAUGAAAUUUAGUCAGAAUGAUAAUCUUGAUAAAAUCUAGGCCAAGUUUGAAAAUGGGUCAUCUGGGGUCAAAAACUAGGUCACUAGGUCAUAUUAAAGAAAAACAUUGUGUAUGCGAUGGAAGCUGUAUUUUUCAAUUAAUCUUCAUGAAUUUUGGUCAGAAUGAUUGCCUUGAUGAAAUCUAGGUCAACUUCGAAUAUUGAUCAUCUGGGGUCAAAAAGUAGGUCAUUAGGUCAAAUCAAAGAAAAACCUUGUGUAUGUGAUAGAGGCUAUAUUUUUCAAUUGAUCUUCAUGAAAUUCGGUCAGAAUGAUUGCCUUGAUAAAAUCUUGGUCAAGUUUGAAUAUGGGUCAUCUUGGGUCAAAAAUUAGGUCACUAGGUCAAAUCAAACAAAAACCUUGUGUAUGCAAUAGAGGCUGUAUAUUUCAAUUGAUCUUUAUGAAAUUUGGUCAGAAUUAUUGCCUUGAUAAAAUCUAGAUACAGUUUGGUUAUUGGUCAUCUGUGGUCAAAAACUAAGUCACUAGGUCAAAUCAACGAAAAACCUUGUGUAUGCAAUAGAGGCUGUAUUUUUCAAUUGAUCUUUAUGAAAUUUGGUCAGAAUGAUUUCCUUGAUGAAAUCUAGGUCAAUUUGAAUAUGGGUCAUCUGGGGUCAAAAACUAGGUCACUAGGUCAAAUAAAAGAAAUACUUGUGUUUGCUCCAAAUUUAAUGAUACUUGGUCAGAAUAUUUAUUCCAUGCAAUCACUAGGUCUAUGUUUACACUGUUAUGGUGUAUUAUGGUGUGUUUCUCAGGUGAGUGACCUAGGGCCAUCUUGGCCCUCUUGUUUAAUAAAAUUUAUUAGCAAGUGGAGUGAUUGAUAAAACACUUCUGUUGCAUAUGCAUAUCUGAAACUCUGGGAUACGGUCAAAAUAAAUGUACUUGCAUAAAGCAUAUAGAUUUCAAAUUUUUCUUAAUGCAGAUUUUGGUACUCCUAGUCCUUCAGCUAAGUAAAUAUUUCACAACUGUCAUUCAUUUAAUAAUUUCUACUGUAGACGCGCACUUUUAUUUUCUUGCUUAAAAAAUUUAAUGUAGAUGAUACCAUACUGGUUAAUACCAACAAAAGUUUUACCACUAUUACAAGAAGUGGAUGUCAGGUUAACAUAAUCUGAUAUCCUUUCAUUACUCAGACACUCCAGUAAAGAAAUUUUAGUAAUCUUCAAAAGAUUUAUAAGAUAUAAUACUGAAUCAAGUUACCGGUCAAAAAAUAUUUACUGUCAAAAUAACAGUAUAUGAUAUCAGAUACAUUUGCGUCAUAAUCUAAACGCUGCUAAAUGCAAACAAAAAUUAUCUAAAAUACUAUGAAAAAAAUGGUGAAACUGCUUUUGAAUGUAAAUAGCGAAAUGCAUACCUAUGACAAGAUAAGUUUUGUGCCCUUUUAGUUGCUUGGAUCUCGUUACUUGGUAAUAUGGGCAUAAGUUGCAGUGUCAUUGCAUUUGUAAAACAAAAUGAGAGAAAAAGCUCCCAAUAACUGCGUUCGAAUAAUAUAACAGAAAAGACCGUAAUACUGUAAAUGUAGGGUAAUUAAAAAAUAGCAGGAAAAAAACUGUCUUUUACCAAUGGGAGACGUAAGAGAAAAGUUCAUAAUAACUGCGUUCGAAUAAUAUAAACAGAAAAAAGCGAUAAUACUGUAAAUGUAAGGUCAUUUAAAAAAUAGCAGGAAAAAACACUGUCAAAAAAAUUUUAUUCAUAAGAGCGUGGCAGAAUAAGUUUCCCGUCAAAUUUAGAAUUUAAAUGAUCAAUAGCAAAACUCUUCCGGUCGGAUGUGUUGAACCUAAUGAUAACUUCUUGUUACACGUUAACCCUUACCAUUGCUUCAAAAUUGUACUCGUGAGUUUUUCAUACGAUUAAAAAUUUAUAUAUUUAUCAUGCUAGAAAAAGUAUAUUCGUGGAGUACACUUUAAGUCUUACAGCUUUAAAUAUAUCCAUAGUGUCUGUCUAAAACAAAUUAUAUCAAACAUUGUAGAUACCAGUUUAAACUUUGAUCUUACCUAGCAUUCGGUUUCAAAUAAGCUUCAGUAUUGUAGCAUCAGCCAAAGUGUUGCCUGUAAGUAUAUCAAAACAAUGUCUUAGUAUUUUUUAUUCGGUACCAUAGAAUAGUCAGUUUGGGAAGUUUCUUGAUUGGCUACUUAAUGUUGUAACUGACCUCUAAGGCAGAAUGUACAGCUCGUUUAAAUGGGUCAACCGUGAUGUUGCACUUAUAAAAUAGACUUGCCCGGUUUUUAGGUUGGUCAGGGCUACGGAUAUGUAUUGUAUUUUGCCAUCGAAAUAUUUCUAUAAAAUACUUCUUCCCCUUCCGUUUGGAUCCGUCCAUGUUUACAAACACGUUUGUUUAUUUUAUGGACUGUACUGUAUACUUCUAUCACAGAUCAACAUAAAUGUCCUAAAUAUGUAAUAAAAUAGGCCUGUUAAACCAACCAAAUGGCUAUUCCCAAAUAUUCACAAGGAUUGCAUUUUUCAUGCGUGUAACAUUCGGAUCCCGAAUUAAAAUUCGCAUCCCUCCCAUCGUCAUUUCGUACUUGAGCACUUAUAGCCGGAGCAACGAUUUACGGAACCUUUGGAUCGGGAGGUAGGGGCACUAGAAAAGUUUACAUACCUAUAUUUUCUAGCUACUUUAUGUCUAAUUUCCUACAAUAUAUUUUUUUUUCAAACCUAAUUUAUUUCAAAGUAUGGUCAUUAUUAUAGUUUAUAUGUAUUUCAUUUUUAACAUAAUAUCAUUGAUGGAGAACGGCGCGGUUUAUUUUUAUUUAUUUUGAAGAAUAUUAUGCGCGAAAUUCUUGUUGAAGCAGACGAUAGGUAGAACAUGUGGUAUCGUGAUCAGUUGAUAAAACUCCAUUUAUGCUGUAAUCAUUAACUGAUACGGAUUUGAAUGUUCUUUUCAACCUAAUGAAGUUUUAUUUUCAUUUCAUUUCGCAAACAAUUUGUUAAAACGCAUUUUUCCCUUACCUCUGACGUGAGUUAUACUGAUAUCCAGUCUUUGUAGCAACAUCCUUGUCAUUGUAUGAAAGAAGAACUUUUUUUAUAGAAAACUAAUGUCCUUUUCAGCAUGAAGGCAACAUUAGACGGCACUUUUAGGGAAAAGUGUGGUUUUCAUAUCAUAUAUCCUAUUUUUUGGGGAGCCCCCAGACACCCUCCUAUGGAGGAGGCUGGGACACAACCUUGCAAAUGAAUGCCUGUCGGGGCUUUGCCUUUACCAUUCAAAUUUACCUAACAACUACGAACAAACGCACAUACUCGUGUCUCGGAAAAAUUUAGUAUCUCGCUACGGCCAUGUAUAAUGUACUUAUUCGUGAUAUUAAAAAAUUGGCGGAAAAUAGUUUAACAAAUAAAAUGAAAUAAUAGUACCUCAGUUCGGUUAUGCCUUUUAAUAUGGUGACUCAAAACAUAUCCCUUUUUUCUCAUAAUCUUGGCAGAAAAACAGGGAGGCACCGGCCUCCCUGUGCCUCAGUGCAGCUAUGGGCCUGCCUAUACAAUAUAUUUUAUUCUUUCAGCGUUUUGAUUUUGGGAUUUUUUGCGUCUUGAUUUUUGCUGUUAGUGUUUUGUUUCAUGGUUUUUGCUUUUUGCAUGUGUUUUUUUUUUUGUUUUUGGUGUAGUAUUUUCUAACAUGUACAUAACUGCAUAAUAUGAAACCCUGGUGCAAAAAACAAAACGCAAAUAGUAAAAAGCAAAACGCAUGUCGAUGCAUAACAGGUUUUAUUUAUGACAAGAGAUAUGAUAUUAAUUAUUCUUCUUAUUAUUAAAACAUUCAUCCAACCCGCCCGCUUAGCUCAGUAUGUAGAGCGUCGGUCUACGGAUCGUUGGGUCGCGAGUUCGAUCCUCGGGCGGGGCGUAUGUUCUCCGUGACUAUUUGAUAAACGACAUUGUGUCUGCAAUCAUUAGUCCUCCACCUCUGAUAAUUCAUGUGGGGAAGUUGGCAGUUACUUGCGGAGAACAGGUUUGUACUGGUACAGAAUCCAGGAACACUGGUUAGGUUAACUGCCCGCCGUUACAUGACUGAAAUACUGUUGAAAAACGGCGUUAAACCCAACGCAAACAAACAAAAACAUUCAUCCUAUAAAUCUUUUCCCUCAGUCCUAGUCAGAAACCACUAGCCCAAUUUCAAAAUGAGUUUUCAGAAAUGUUCAUUUGAUGGCUUUGUACCGGAAUAAUUCGAUUCAUUCUGAUUUUGCUGUUUGAAAGUCUGUGAAAGUCCUACCUCCCGAAUCUUCAGUCUUGCUACAAAAGCAGUUAAAAUUGGCAGAAAAACUUCUUUGAUCACUUUCUUAAAGGGUUACCCCAUUGAGCUGUGAAAGUCAUGUGUGUGAUCUAGAGACACCAUAGCCCUAUGUUUAUUAUACCCCCACAAAACGAAGUUGGGGGUGAGGGGGGUGGGGGUGAUAUAUAGGAGUGAGCUUGGCGGUCGGUAGGUCCGAUGGUUUCAUGGUUUCCGGAUGAUAACUCAUGAAAGGCUUGACCGAUUUAAAUAUUGUUUGGUACACAGGUCUGACAUCAGAAAAUGCAGGUCAGGUUUGAAUUUGAGGUCAGUGGGUCAAAGGUCAAGGUCACAGUGACUCUGAACAGUUAAAUGGUUUCCGAAUGAUAACUUGAGAACGCUUGGGCCUAGGAUAAUAAAUUCAAGGUCACAGUGACUCUGAACAGUUAAACGGUUUCCGGAUGAUAACUUGAAAACGCUUGGGCCUAGGAUCAUAAAUUUUGGUACACAGUUGUAACAUCAUAAAAUACAGUUCAAGUUCGACUUUGAAGUCUGUAGGUCAAAGGUCAAGGUCACAGUGACUCUGAACAGUUAAAUGGUUUCCGAAUGAUAACUUGAGAACGCUUGGGCCUAGGAUAAUAAAUUUAAGGUCACAGUGACCAAGAACAGUUAAACGGUUUCCGGAUGAUAACUUGAAAACGCUUGGGCCUAGGAUAAUAAAUUUUGGUACACAGGUGUAUUAUUAUAAAAUACAGGUCAAGUUCUACUUUGAGGGCAGUAGGUCAAAGGUCAAGGUC